UUGACCUCGGAUCAGGUAGGGAUACCCGCUGAACUUAAGCAUAUCAAUAAGCGGAGGAAAAGAAACCAACAGGGAUUGCCUCAGUAACGGCGAGUGAAGCGGCAAUAGCUCAAAUUUGAAAGCUGGCGUCUUCGACGUCCGCGUUGUAAUUUGUAGAGGAUGCUUCGGCGAGGACUCCUGCCUAAGUCCCCUGGAACGGGGCGUCGCAGAGGGUGAGAAUCCCGUAUGUGGCGGGCGGUCCAAGCCAUGUGAAGCUCCUUCGACGAGUCGAGUUGUUUGGGAAUGCAGCUCUAAAUGGGAGGUAAAUUUCUUCUAAAGCUAAAUAUUGGCCAGAGACCGAUAGCGCACAAGUAGAGUGAUCGAAAGAUGAAAAGCACUUUGGAAAGAGAGUUAAAAAGUACGUGAAAUUGUUGAAAGGGAAGCGCUUGCAACCAGACUCGCUCGCAGUUGCUCAGCCGGCCUCUUGGCCGGCGUACUCUUCUGCGAUCGGGCCAGCAUCAGUUCGGGCGGCCGGAUAAAGGUGGCGGGAAUGUAGCACCCUCCGGGGUGUGUUAUAGCCCGCCGCGGAAUGCGGCCAGCCUGGACUGAGGAUCUCGCUUCGGCAAGGAUGCUGGCGUAAUGGUUGUAAGCGGCCCGUCU
rnacentral:rRNA from 1 species